CUUUCCUACGGGAGGCAGCAGUGAGGAAUAUUGGUCAAUGGCCGAGAGGCUGAACCAGCCAAGUCGCGUGAGGGAAGACGGCCCUACGGGUUGUAAACCUCUUUUGUCGGGGAGCAAAGCGAGUCACGUGUGACUCAUUGAGAGUACCCGAAGAAAAAGCAUCGGCUAACUCCGUGCCAGCAGCCGCGGUAAUACGGAGGAUGCGAGCGUUAUCCGGAUUUAUUGGGUUUAAAGGGUGCGCAGGCGGCGGCGCUAGUCAGCGGUCAGAUUGCGGGGCUCAACCCCGUACUGCCG
rnacentral:rRNA from 1 species